GAAAAAGGGGACUAAGGGGACAUAUCAGGUGAAAAUCUGAAAAUUUGCGUCACCAGCCGUUGGAUCCGAAACAUACGGUACAGAUUAGAAGUGGAAGCCGAGCCACAACUUAAACCCCCUUUUACAGAGAACCCCCUGCUAAAACUAUCAUAUCCAAAUUUCACAGCCAUGGGGAAUCGAUGGGAAUCGCCCCUGCCCUCGACCAGCGAUGGAAUCGCCACGCCAUGGAGCAGCGUCGGCGACCCGCCCUCUCCCAGCGCCUGCGGACCUCCCUCUCCCAGCGCCGGCGGCCGGGUGACCCUGGUCUGGAGCUCGGCCGCGCGGGUGCAUGCUCUCUCUCUCCGCGACGGCGACCUGGUGCUUCCCCAGGCAACGGUUAACUCCGAGACGGCCCCCCUCCAUGACGGAGGCCCAGCGGCGCGGUGCAGGCUUCAUGCGUCGGCGACCCCGCGGCCACGUUGGUUGCCCGCGCGACGGCAACCUCGCUGCCCCCAUGCAAUGGCGGCCUGGAUGCAAGUGACGGCCACUCGAAGCUUCAGAAGCUGCAGUAUUGAUCGGCGAAGCAUGUCCAUAUGGCCGGGUCGUGACGCGUGCUUGUGAGGGAGAUUCAUGGCCGGUGGAAGGCGAUGGAUCAUGGGCGGAUCCACCGGAUGCCAGUGGCUCAGGCUCACUGCGACACUGCCGCCGGAGCCGGCGGAAGGCCAUGGCUCACGGCCGCCGGAGGGAGAGCACUCAAGGACGGGCCUUGCGGAUGGCCAUGGCACACGAGUGGCGGAGGUCCUGAUCAUGCAACCGGCGCUGGUCCAGGGAGGGGAGGCGGCCCUUGUCGAGGGCUGGCGGCCGGUGGACAGCGAUUUCCCCACGGCUGUGAAGAUCUGAGGAGGUGUGAAGAUAGAAGACGAAUCGUGGCUGUGCAAAUUCGGUAUGCUAGUUUUACCAGGGUGUUUUCUGUAAAAAGGGUUUAAGUUGUGCCUCGGCUUCCCAGGUCUAAUCUCUGCCGUCUGUUUCGGAUCCAACGGCUGGCGACGCGAAUUUUCAGAUUUUCACCUAA